rnacentral:rRNA from 1 species
CAGUCGCCGCGGUAAUACGAAGGGGGCUAGCGUUGUGCGGAUUUACUGGGCGUAAAGGGCGCGUAGGCGGACUGAUAAGUCAGGGGUGAAAUCCCAAGGCUCAACCUUGGAACUGCCUUUGAUACUGUUUGUCUUGAGUUCGAGAGAGGUAAGUGGAACUGCGAGUGUAGAGGUGAGAUUCGUAGAUAUUCGCAAGAACACCAGUGGCGAAGGCGGCUUACUGGCUCGAAACUGACGCUGAGGCGCGAAAGCGUGGGGAGCAAACAGGAUUAGAUACCCCAGUAGUCCCUGUCUCUUAUAC